rnacentral:rRNA from 1 species
GAUGAACGCUGGCGGCGUGCCUAAUACAUGCAAGUCGAGCGAACGGACGAGAAGCUUGCUUCUCUGAUGUUAGCGGCGGACGGGUGAGUAACACGUGGAUAACCUACCUAUAAGACUGGGAUAACUUCGGGAAACCGGAGCUAAUACCGGAUAAUAUUUUGAACCGCAUGGUUCAAAAGUGAAAGACGGUCUUGCUGUCACUUAUAGAUGGAUCCGCGCUGCAUUAGCUAGUUGGUAAGGUAACGGCUUACCAAGGCAACGAUGCAUAGCCGACCUGAGAGGGUGGUCGGCCACACUGGAACUGAGACACGGUCCAGACUCCUACGGGAGGCAGCAGUAGGGAAUCUUCCGCAAUGGGCGAAAGCCUGACGGAGCACCGCCGCGUGAGUGAUGAAGGUCUUCGGAUCGUAAAACUCUGUUAUUAGGGAAGAACAUAUGUGUAAGUAACUGUGCACAUCUUGACGGUACCUAAUCAGAAAGCCACGGCUAACUACGUG